GACGAACGCUGGCGGCGUGCUUAACACAUGCAAGUCGAACGGAAAGGCCUGUCCUUCCUUGUGUUGGACGGGUACUCGAGUGGCGAACGGGUGAGUAACACGUGAGUGAUCUGCCCCCAACUUGGGUAUAAGCCUGGGAAACUGGGUCUAAUUCCCGAUAGGACUGCAGGGUGGUGCCUGUGGUGGAAAACGAUUUUCUAGUGGUUGGGGAUGAGCUCGCGGCCUAUCAGCUUGUUGGUGGGGUAAUGGCCUACCAAGGCGGCGACGGGUAGCCGGCCUGAGAGGGUGGACGGGCACAUUGGGACUGAGAUACGGCCCAGACUCCUACGGGAGGCAGCAGUGGGGAAUAUUGGACAAUGGGCGGAAGCCUGAUGCAGCGACGCCGCGUGGGGGAUGACGGCCUUCGGGUUGUAAACUCCUUUCGACCGCGAGGAAGCCGCCUGGUUGGAAGGGUGGUGACGGUAGUGGUAGAAGAAGCACCGGCUAACUACGUG
rnacentral:rRNA from 1 species